rnacentral:misc_RNA from 1 species
GAAUGAAUGGCAUUACACCCACAUUGAUCAGAAAAAUUCGACAGUAAGAAAAUACCCAAAAUUCUUGCAAGAAAAAUGCAACCACCCUACAAAAUCCAACCUUACAUGUAACGAACAUUCACAACACUAACACUGAUGGCAAUAAUAAAUAUGCCAUAAGAUAACAGUCCUUAAUAGAAGAUGUCUGCCAUUGCCACCCACAAACUGACACGACACUCUUACAUUCUAUCUUCUCUCCUUCGAGGGGCACAAGUGAUGAUUUCAUCAACUCUAAGAAUCAUCUCAGCUGCCUCUGUUGCAGAAAGCAAUAUGGCUUGCUUGACUUUGAAUGCUUCUGAAAUACCAAGUUCUGCCAUAUCUCCUACCGAUCCAGAGAUGACAUCGAUCCCUGCAUUGCAACCCUCCUUGUGAU